AGUGAACGCUGGCGGUAGGCCUAACACAUGCAAGUCGAACGGCAGCACAGUAAGAGCUUGCUCUUACGGGUGGCGAGUGGAGGACGGGUGAGGAAUACAUCGGAAUCUACUUUUUCGUGGGGGAUAACGUAGGGAAACUUACGCUAAUACCGCAUACGACAUACGGGUGAAAGCAGGGGAUCUUCGGACCUUGCGCGAUUGAAUGAGCCGAUGUCGGAUUAGCUAGUUGGCGGGGUAAAGGCCCACCAAGGCGACGAUCCGUAGCUGGCCUGAGAGGAUGAUCAGCCACACUGGAACUGAGACACGGUCCAGACUCCUACGGGAGGCAGCAGUGGGGAAUAUUGGACAAUGGGCGCAAGCCUGAUCCAGCCAUACCGCGUGGGUGAAGAAGGCCUUCGGGUUGUAAAGCCCUUUUGUUGGGAAAGAAAAGCAGCAGGUUAAUACCCCGCUGUUCUGACGGUACCCAAAGAAUAAGCACCGGCUAACUUCGUG
rnacentral:rRNA from 1 species